rnacentral:tRNA from 6 species
GCCAUCUUAGCUCAGUGGAAGAGCAUCGGUAUCGUAAACCGGUGAUGGGAGUUCGAUUCUCCCAGAUGGCU